rnacentral:lncRNA from 1 species
AUUUAAGGGUUGGCAGUGGAAGUGAGGAUAUUUUGCUGGAGAUCCCUGCCUACCUGAGCCUAUCUGAAGAAUUGCCAGCCUUGUGGAUGAGAAGCAAGCAUUGGAUGUGAUACAUCUUGACACAGCUUUUGAGACAAACUACUUGGUUAUUCUCAAGAGCAAGAUGAGAAUACAUGGUCUGGAUAAAAUUAGAAAUAAAUUUUAGACUUUAUUAAAGACUAUGUACCAAUAACUCAAUGUUAAACUAAGUACCUUAAGCAAGGUCUCACUGAGACUUUUCAUGAGCACUGUUCAACAAUUUCAUUAAUGGCUUGGAUGAUGAGAAACAUAGUACACUUCUUUAAUCUUUAUGCACUGCUUCCUUGGGAAGAAUUGCAAGGAUGUUGGAAGACAGUAUUAUGUCUUAUAUCGAUACAAAAAAAAUUCAGUGAAGGGUGACUAAGUCUGGAUCAAAGGAGAAGGGGACAGACUAACAUCAGAAGAGAAUGGCAAACUGCUCCUUCUCCACAGAUGAAAGAGAAAAAUAAGUCUGAAUCCAAGGCAUAACACCAUUAUAAACAUCAAAAAACAUAUUAUUCAGCUGUUUCUCUACUGUGAGUGGUAUUAGCGGAGUCUCCCUUAAACUUCGGUAUAGUACAGGGCAUUGAUUAAAUGUCUUUCUGUCCUUACCUAUCAAAUUUUCAUUGCAUUUUUUCAAUUAUAGAUUCCACAUACGUUUCCUAUACGUAUUCCACAUACGUUAUCCUUUCCUAAAUGCCUUUUAAAGCAGACUCCAUAUCUUUAGUAUUUUUUGUGUUCUGAAUUUGCAAACCAAAUUGGAUUUUCUCUGUAGAGAUGUUUUCCUCUGUAAUCCUGGAGAUUUUUCCUUUUCAGCCUCCUUAUAAUGAAAGAGUAAAACUGAGUAUCAUUAGCUAAAAUAGCACAAAAUUUAUAUGAAAAUAUCACUAUAAUUGCCAUCAGUUAUAAAGGAAAAAAAUAGUUUUUGUAUUCUAGGAAUGAUAGUAAAAGUAAAGAAAUUUUUGUUCUGUAUCUGUAUUACGUUCUUGUUUCCCAUAUUCUCCCUUUGUAGAAAUAGAUGGAAACAUGAUUUUCACCAUAAAAGUAUCCAGAUUGACCAUAGUAUCACUGAUAGUCUAUGCCUUUCCUCAGAAGGAAAAUUCUGAAACCUUGGGGUGUUAUAUAUGAAGUACUGAUUAUAUCAACAACAAAAUUACCAGGUUUGUCAUAGUGUCCAUAACUUCUUUGAGAGCAACUGACUGUCCUUUCCUCUGUUUAGCUACAUAGUGACAAAUUUCACAGUUCCCCAAUGAAAUCCACUUUCUGUGUUUCUUUUUCCUGCAGUCUCCUUCCCUUCCUGAAUGUAUGCAAAAUGGUUAUUUUCUGGUUCUCACUUUCCUAUCUCUUUGAACUGUACAUACAACUAGCUAAUUGCCUCUGUGUUCUCUUUCAGUUCUAGAUCUUUUAUGGGAGCUUGCUAGCCACCUAAAAAUUUUAUCUCCAGUAUUAACAUCGCCUACUAUUCAUCUUGCAGAAUGUUCUUGAACGUUGUUAAUUAGGUGUCUCUUAUAAACAUUUGUUUUAACUGAUCAGUUAAAUAUUAACCUAGAUUACUGUACAACUGCUCAUGUAUUCUCAGAUUCUAUAGCUACUAUGUUCAAAUGUUUCAGAUUUGCCAUUACUUGUUUUGUUUAUGCCUGCAAACAAAAACAAAGCUUGCAGUAUACAAGUUGCUAUGAUCUAAGAUUGUCCUAAGGUCCCAGUGAUAGUAUGGUUCUACAUCAAUCUAAUCGGGAUCAUGGGAACUGGUCUUAUAAAAGACCUGCUCUGUUGACUAUUCCUGUUGCCCUGAUUUACAAGUAUCGUUUGAAAGUUUUCCUUCAUGUUUUCUGGACUAUUUCCCAUGAAUACUCCUAAGUUUCCCUGAUUGAGUUUCACUGUUGAAGACUACUUCUGGAGGUUUCUUCCAGCUUCCUAUAAUAUGAUGGGGCGCUUCCUAUAAUACGAUGGGGCACUUCCUGCAUUAAAAUACAAAGUCUUAUCUCACAAUGAUCAAAUCAGACAUAGAUUUUGAAAAAAUGAAUCUCACUGGUCCACAUGCACACAUGCACACACAACAGAAAAAAAAAAAAAAAACUAGCAAAACUCCGGUGAACUUUUGAAAUUAAUUUCAUAGAUGAGGAAGAUGCACAAGUUGAUAGGAAUAACCUAAUUGUAAAUUGGCUAAUUGACCAAAUGAAUGACUGUUUACUGCUUUCCAUUUCAAAUAUUGCUUUGAUCAUUGUGUGCGAAAAUAGCACGAUUUAUUUUAGUAUCCAAGUUUAUCAGAAUGGAAUGUCUUGCUUUGAACAAAAUUAAAUGAAGAUUUUAUUUACUGAGAUAUCACAAUUCCUGCCUUGAAUUCACUUACAAAUGUUCCAUUCCAUAAAUAAUGAAGAUGGUGUGCCUUUAAGUUUUAUUAAGUUACUAAUAAUAGAUGGGAUUGGCUUUGAACUGUGUGAAACAAUCAUGAGGCAGUGAAGAUGAUGAGGUCAGCACAAUAUUUCAGAACCCAGGGCUUUUAUGUAGAUGCAUUGAGAUUAUUUCAGCAUUAGUAUUUUAUAAUAAAGUUGCUUCUGAAAACAAAUAUUUGUUUUCAGUGAAACAUAAAUUUCUAAUAAAAACUUACUUGUUUUUUGUUC